rnacentral:rRNA from 1 species
UGGCGAACGGGUGAGUAAUGCGUGACCAACCUGCCCCAUGCUCCAGAAUAGCUCUUGGAAACGGGUGGUAAUGCUGGAUGCUCCAACUUGACGCAUGUCUUGUUGGGAAAGUGUUUAGUGGCAUGGGAUGGGGUCGCGUCCUAUCAGCUUGGUAGGCGGGGUAAUCGGCCCACCUAGGCUUCGACGGGUAGCCGGCCUUAGAGGGCGGACGGCCACAUUGGGACUGAUAUACGGCCUAGACUCCUACGGGAGGCAGCAGGC